AGCGAACGCUGGCGGCAGGCCUAACACAUGCAAGUCGAACGAGCUCUUCGGAGCUAGUGGCGGACGGGUGAGUAACACGUGGGAACGUGCCCUUUGGUACGGAAUAACUCAGGGAAACUUGAGCUAGUACCGUAUGUGCCCUUCGGGGGAAAGAUUUAUCGCCAUUGGAGCGGCCCGCGUCUGAUUAGCUAGUUGGUGAGGUAAAGGCUCACCAAGGCUACGAUCAGUAGCUGGUCUGAGGGGAUGAUCAGCCACAUUGGGACUGAGACACGGCCCAAACUCCUACGGGAGGCAGCAGUGGGGAAUCUUGCGCAAUGGGCGAAAGCCUGACGCAGCCAUGCCGCGUGAAUGAUGAAGGUCUUAGGAUUGUAAAAUUCUUUCACCGGGGACGAUAAUGACGGUACCCGUAGAAUAAGCCCCGGCUAACUUCGUGCCAGCCGCCGCCGUAACAC
rnacentral:rRNA from 1 species